AAUGAUACCCUCCCUCAAGGGGGACUCGCGAGAAAAGCAGCGGGGGAAGCAACGCCUCGGAUGAAAAAGGCCGAGGGGGGCAUUC
rnacentral:sRNA from 1 species